CCAUUGGAGAGUUUGAUCCUGGCUCAGGACGAACGCUGGCGGCGUGCCUAACACAUGCAAGUCGUACGGGCCUGGGGGCAACUCCAGGUCAGUGGCGGACGGGUGCGUAACACGUAAGCAACGUGUCUGACGGUGGGGGAUAGCCGGCCCAACGGCCGGGUAAUACCGCAUGAAGUGCCCCGGGGCAGCCCGGGUCAUGAAAGCCGGGGCAACCUGGCGCCGACGGAGCGGCUUGCGGCCUAUCAGCUAGUUGGUGAGGUCAUGGCUCACCAAGGCGACGACGGGUAGCUGGUCUGAG
rfam:Gemmatimonadetes bacterium GWC2_71_9 gwc2_scaffold_87887, whole genome shotgun sequence.